GGGUUCACUUCCACAGCCUCAGCUCUCCCACUAAGCAUCAAAUGGAGAACGAUCUACAGCCGAAUCGACCUCAGCUCCACUCACUCUGGGUGGUGGUGUAAGGGGUGAUGCCAGCUCCUGGCCUCGGCCACUGUCACUGCCUUUGACCCUUUUACCAUCCAAAUCAAUUGGUCUUUUUUCAGGGUUGUGUUUAAGACACCCCUUGUCUUUGCUACAGUGGUGACCCAGACACAGUUGGAGACCAUCCCCCAGUGUCUGUCCUCCCGUGUGGCUGAACAGUCCUGUGGCUGUCCCUGUCACCCCUCCUGAGUGCACUCUGAAGGAGCAUGCUUCCUUCGGGUCUAUAUUCUCUCUCAGGCUAAAGGCGGCAGUUCAGGCCUUCUGUGACCUAAGUCUGGGAGGCCAGUGGUGGCUUCGUGGAAUGAGCCCAACAAGACUCUGCCCCGCCUGACCGCUUUAAUAGACGCCUGCAUUUCGCACAUUCAGAUUAUAUCAUUAGGACAGGACAUGAGAAGGGGCUCUGGAGAGAAUCUUGGCCUGCAGAGCCCUGGCCACCUUCUGUGACAGACCACCGGGUCUGGCCCCAGGCGUAGUAGUCAGCCCCCACCACCAAGCUGCAGCUAUCAGCAGGACCAUUCCAACUGAAGGCACACCCUGUCCUGGAGGCCUAAAGAAUGGCAGAUGCCUGGCAGAAGUCCUAACUGGUGUGCUUGUAGGAAUACCCCGUGUGGUGGCACACCCUUUUGAGGGAAUCCUAUACAAAACCAUUUCUUGGUCCCUCUCUGUAUGAAACUCUCUUUCUUGGGACACCCCCCAACUCUGCAGGACACACGGCCAUUCACUCAGAACACAAGUCCACCAGAUACAGGGACUCAGUAGGCAGGCUGCCGAAAAGCUUCCAUGUGAUGUGCAGUACCAAUGCAAGGGACUGAGGAUCAGGGAUCAGGGAGGUGGCGGGGAUGUGGCACAGCCUUGGGAGAAGAUGCGACCACAGAAGACAAAGGUGUCAAGUCUGGAUCCUGGCUGGGUACACAGCCCACUAAAAGCCAGUGCCUUAUCCUUGCCCCCAAGAUGACCUUAACUAACAGCGAGCCUGGUGGUGAGGCUCUGGACUGGCACUGCUUGUAGCAGCAAUGAGAAGCCAGGCAUGGCAGGGAGACUCUGUAGUGACUUAGCCAGUGUCCCCUUGGGGGAGGAGAAACCAGUGCUUUCCUAGAACCUGUAGCCAGGUGUAGUAGUUUGAAUAAAAAUGGCUACCAUAGACUCACAGGGAGUGGCAUUAUUGGAAGUUGUGGCCUUGUGUGUCACAGGAGGGUGGACUUUGAGGUUUCAGAAGCUCAAGCCAGGCCCAAUGGCUCCCUCUCUUCCUGCGAUCCACCAAUCCGAAUGUAGAAUGCUCAACUGCCUCUCCAGCACCACAUCUGCUUGUCUGCUACCAUGCUUCUCACCAUGAUGACAACAGACUAAACCUCAGGACUGUAAGCCAGCCCCAGUUAAGUGCUUUCCUGUAGAGUUGAUGCAGUCAUGGUGUCUCUUCAUGGCAGCAGAAACUCUAACAAGACACUAGACAUGGCAAAGCCAAACCUAGAAAGGCCAGCUGCCCACAGGAGAGCAAGAGGCAGACAUUGGGCAAGGAGAGUAGCCUGGGGGCGGAUUCCUGUGCUGUGUGAGGGAUGAGGGAGGAGUCCAGAACAUUCUACCUGUAUGGAGGGUCUGGAUACAGAGCCUUGGAAAGAAAAGUGACUUGUUGGUGGGAGGUGGCCGGCAGGUGGGUGGUGUGCCUAACAACCAUCUAAAGUGAGCAGGGCCAUGUAUCAAGGAGUGAGCAGCCCAGGCAGGUGUGCACACUGGCAUUCCUACCAGAGACGCUGUACAGGCCCAGAUGUGGUCCAGCGCAUUUCCUCACCAGACCCCAGCACCAGCCACAUCCUUGGUCUCUGUGAUCUCAUAGCCACACCCAGCUCAGCCUGGAACCCUGGACCUGGCUGGAGGCUCCCAUGUUGCUCUGUGUGAACUCUUUUCCUGGAAUCUGCUGGCCUGUGUCUGAUUGUGCCCCUGGGACACAAUGUCCCCCAUCGUCCUCUUGGAUUCAGCCUUUCUCCUGAGCUCUGUGGCUAAAAAGGACACACAGGUGGCCCCCCUCUUUCCAAGCUGUGAGGCCAUCCCAGGAGUCCCUGGAGGAGGCCAGCUGGAAAGCACCCGGACUGGGGGUAGGGGAGGCAGCGACGUCUCGUCAGCCAAAUGGGUUCGAUUCCAUUGACUGAUUCUAUCUGAAUGGUCAUUAAUGUGAUUUAUUUGGCUGUUUCAGAUUCUUCACUCCCAAAUUUGUCACCAACCCUCUUGGUAUUGACUGGAAGAGAACAGUCCUAGUACAGAAUGGAGUGGGAACAGGGCUCUCUAGCUCGGCUCCUCACCUUCCCCUCCCCCCGCCCGUUCUUUACUCUCAGAGCGACUGGACUGGAAAGCGCAGGAAAACAGAGGAAGGGGCCGUGCCUAACCCCCAGCCUUUCCACCCAGCUCUUACUUUAGAAGACAAGUUCUCUCCUCCCUCAACCCCAGCCGUGCCCUGGCCACCCCAGGGGAAGCCAACGCUGAACUUUCCUGACAGCAGCGGACACUUACAGAGGCCACUGUGGAACAGAGUUCAUUUCCAACAUCCUGGCAUUAGAGACUCAGGAUACCAAGCUCCCAGCUGCUGCUCCAGUGCCCUGCCUGGUGCCCUGCUCCCUGCCAUGUUUGUUGAUGGACUCCUAUCCCUCUUAAACUCUAAGCCCCGAAUAAAUCCUUCUGUUAAG
rnacentral:lncRNA from 1 species